ACUGCAGUUGAGCGCUGAAGGUUGGUACUUGUACCGACUGGAUGAGCAGCGAACGGGUGAGUAACGCGUGGGGAAUCUGCCUUUGAGCGGGGGACAACAUUUGGAAACGAAUGCUAAUACCGCAUAAAAACUUUAAACACAAGUUUUAAGUUUGAAAGAUGCAAUUGCAUCACUCAAAGAUGAUCCCGCGUUGUAUUAGCUAGUUGGUGAGGUAAAGGCUCACCAAGGCGAUGAUACAUAGCCGACCUGAGAGGGUGAUCGGCCACAUUGGGACUGAGACACGGCCCAAACUCCUACGGGAGGCAGCAGUAGGGAAUCUUCGGCAAUGGACGAAAGUCUGACCGAGCAACGCCGCGUGAGUGAAGAAGGUUUUCGGAUCGUAAAACUCUGUUGGUAGAGAAGAACGUUGGUGAGAGUGGAAAGCUCAUCAAGUGACGGUAACUACCCAGAAAGGGACGGCUAACUACGUGCCAGCAGCCGCGGUAAUACGUAGGUCCCGAGCGUUGUCCGGAUUUAUUGGGCGUAAAGCGAGCGCAGGUGGUUUAUUAAGUCUGGUGUAAAAGGCAGUGGCUCAACCAUUGUAUGCAUUGGAAACUGGUAGACUUGAGUGCAGGAGAGGAGAGUGGAAUUCCAUGUGUAGCGGUGAAAUGCGUAGAUAUAUGGAGGAACACCGGUGGCGAAAGCGGCUCUCUGGCCUGUAACUGACACUGAGGCUCGAAAGCGUGGGGAGCAAACAGGAUUAGAUACCCUGGUAGUCCACGCCGUAAACGAUGAGUGCUAGAUGUAGGGAGCUAUAAGUUCUCUGUAUCGCAGCUAACGCAAUAAGCACUCCGCCUGGGGAGUACGACCGCAAGGUUGAAACUCAAAGGAAUUGACGGGGGCCCGCACAAGCGGUGGAGCAUGUGGUUUAAUUCGAAGCAACGCGAAGAACCUUACCAGGUCUUGACAUACUCGUGCUAUUCCUAGAGAUAGGAAGUUCCUUCGGGACACGGGAUACAGGUGGUGCAUGGUUGUCGUCAGCUCGUGUCGUGAGAUGUUGGGGUUAAGUCCCGCAACGAGCGCAACCCCUAUUGUUAGUUGCCAUCAUUAAGUUGGGCACUCUAACGAGACUGCCGGUGAUAAACCGGAGGAAGGUGGGGAUGACGUCAAAUCAUCAUGCCCCUUAUGACCUGGGCUACACACGUGCUACAAUGGAUGGUACAACGAGUCGCGAGACAGUGAUGUUUAGCUAAUCUCUUAAAACCAUUCUCAGUUCGGAUUGUAGGCUGCAACUCGCCUACAUGAAGUCGGAAUCGCUAGUAAUCGCGGAUCAGCACGCCGCGGUGAAUACGUUCCCGGGCCUUGUACACACCGCCCGUCACACCACGGGAGUUGGGAGUACCCGAAGUAGG
rnacentral:rRNA from 1 species